UACGUAGGGGGCAAGCGUUGUCCGGAAUCAUUGGGCGUAAAGCGCGCGUAGGCGGCUCGGUAAGUCCGCUGUGAAAGUCCAGGGCUCAACCCUGGAAUGCCGGUGGAAACUGUCGAGCUAGAGUCCGGAAGAGGCGAGUGGAAUUCCUGGUGUAGCGGUGAAAUGCGCAGAUAUCAGGAGGAACACCAAUGGCGAAGGCAGCUCGCUGGGACGGUACUGACGCUGAGACGCGAAAGCGUGGGGAGCAAACAGG
rnacentral:rRNA from 1 species